UACAGAGGUCUCAAGCGUUUGUUCGGAUUCAUUGGGCGUAAAGGGUGUGUAGGUGGCGCACUAAGUCGGGUGUGAAAUUUCGGAGCUUAACUCCGAAACUGCAUUCGAUACUGGCGUGCUUGAGGACUGGAGAGGAGACUGGAAUUCAUGGUGUAGCAGUGAAAAUGCGUAGAGAUCAUGAGGAAGACCAGUGGCGAAGGCGGGUCUCUGGACAGUUCCUGACACUGAGACACGAAGGCCAGGGGAGCAAAACGGGG
rnacentral:rRNA from 1 species